rnacentral:misc_RNA from 1 species
AACGCACCUUGCGCUCUCGGGUUAUUCCUGGGAGCAUGUUCGUUUGAGUGUCGCGUACCUUCUCAACCCCCCUCUCUCUUAACCGAAAAAGGUGUUAGGGUUGGAUCUUGACGCCUUUGUCUCUAACGAGACUGCGUUGAAUUACAACAAGCUGUACCUUGUUCGUACUGGCGGCUUGACCCGUUGUCGUAAUUUUUUCUAUCGACGGGGACGCCUUAUGGGACUUUAGGAUGGGCUUACCAUAAAUUAUAAAUUUGACACAUUGACCUCAAAUCGAGCAGGACUACCCCCUGAACUUAA